AGCGAACGCUGGCGGCACGCUUAACACAUGCAAGUCGCGCGGGUGGUUUCGGCCAUCAGCGGCGGACGGGUGAGUAUCGCGUAGGAAUGUAUCCCGAGGUGGGGGACAACCCUGGGAAACUGGGGCUAAUACCGCAUGGGGCCUGUGGGUCAAAGCCUUAGGGCGCCUUGGGAGCAGCCUGCGUCCGAUUAGGUAGUUGGUGGGGUAAAGGCCUACCAAGCCUGCGAUCGGUAGCUGGUCUGAGAGGACGAUCAGCCACACUGGGACUGAGACACGGCCCAGACUCCUACGGGAGGCAGCAGUGGGGAAUAUUGGACAAUGGGCGCAAGCCUGAUCCAGCAAUGCCGCGUGGGUGAAGAAGGUCUUCGGAUUGUAAAGCCCUUUCGGCGGGGACGAUGAUGACGGUACCCGCAGAAGAAGCCCCGGCUAACUUCGUG
rnacentral:rRNA from 1 species